UACACUCCUACGGGAGGCAGCAGUGGGGAAUUUUGGACAAUGGGCGAAAGCCUGAUCCAGCAAUGCCGCGUGAGUGAAGAAGGCCUUCGGGUUGUAAAGCUCUUUUGUCAGGGAAGAAACGGUGAAAGCUAAUAUCUUUUGCUAAUGACGGUACCUGAAGAAUAAGCACCGGCUAACUACGUGCCAGCAGCCGCGGUAAUACGUAGGGUGCAAGCGUUAAUCGGAAUUACUGGGCGUAAAGCGUGCGCAGGCGGUUUUGUAAGUCUGAUGUGAAAUCCCCGGGCUCAACCUGGGAAUUGCAUUGGAGACUGCAAGGCUAGAAUCUGGCAGAGGGGGGUAGAAUUCCACGUGUAGCAGUGAAAUGCGUAGAUAUGUGGAGGAACACCGAUGGCGAAGGCAGCCCCCUGGGUCAAGAUUGACGCUCAUGCACGAAAGCGUGGGGAGCAAACAGGAUUAGAAACCCUUGUAGUCC
rnacentral:rRNA from 1 species